AAUCAGGCGAAAUUUGACAGCGAAUUUCAAAUUUGAUUCUAGUAGGCUGCGAAGAAAAACAUCAAUUUCGCGCAAAAUUUUGGAGAUAGCCAAACAUCAGCAGGAGACUUAAGCCAUCAGAACUGAACUGAGUUCCAGAUUGCCAAACAUCUGCAAAGACAUCCACAGCACACUGAACACCAUUGGUCACCAAUAGCUCUCAACCCUACAUCAUACCAGCUACAUUGUUCGGCGAGUUUUAUUGUUCAAAUCAGUCAUGCCCAGCGCAGGGCACUUGCAUAUGGAAUUCUGCCAGCGCAGGGCAUUUGCUUAUGGAGUUCUGCCGACGUUGGGCAUGACUGGUUUAAAUAUUAAGAAACGCGGUUGCUCCAAGUGCAAUGCAAAUAUGUAUGUACUUUUGUAUGUUAAAAGUGCAACUAGGUAGAUAUGUAAACAGCAAAAAGUGUGGUGCAAUAAAUGUGAAAAGUCCAGUAGAAUGUCUGUUUUUCUAAGCGCAACAAUAUAAAAAUCAGUUUCUUUUAAUUCCAAUUAACAGCAAAUUUACUUAAUUUGUGCCAACUGAGUUUAAUGUAAAUUGUGUAAAUUAUUAUAUGUAUAUGUAUAUUAUUGAUGCGUUUUUAAAAACAGACAUUUUCG